AAGUCGUAACAAGGUCUCCGUUGGUGAACCAGCGGAGGGAUCAUUACCGAGUUUACAAACUCCCAAACCCAAUGUGAACAUACCUAUCUUACUGUUGCUUCCCCGCCGUGGGUAAAACCGCUGCGGGGGAGGACACAGCCACAAACUCUGUAAUUUACUACUGUAACUGUCUGAGUAAACAUCAUUUAUAAUGAAUCAAAACUUUCAACAACGGAUCUCUUGGUUCUGG
rnacentral:misc_RNA from 1 species